rnacentral:rRNA from 1 species
UGAACGCUGGCGGCGUGCCUAAUACAUGCAAGUCGAGCGAACGGACGAGAAGCUUGCUUCUCUGAUGUUAGCGGCGGACGGGUGAGUAACACGUGGAUAACCUACCUAUAAGACUGGGAUAACUUCGGGAAACCGGAGCUAAUACCGGAUAAUAUUUUGAACCGCAUGGUUCAAAAGUGAAAGACGGUCUUGCUGUCACUUAUAGAUGGAUCCGCGCUGCAUUAGCUAGUUGGUAAGGUAACGGCUUACCAAGGCAACGAUGCAUAGCCGACCUGAGAGGGUGAUCGGCCACACUGGAACUGAGACACGGUCCAGACUCCUACGGGAGGCAGCAGUAGGGAAUCUUCCGCAAUGGGCGAAAGCCUGACGGAGCAACGCCGCGUGAGUGAUGAAGGUCUUCGGAUCGUAAAACUCUGUUAUUAGGGAAGAACAUAUGUGUAAGUAACUGUGCACAUCUCGACGGUACCUAAUCAGAAAGCCACGGCUAACUACGUGCCAGCAGCCGCGGUAAUACGUAGGUGGCAAGCGUUAUCCGGAAUUAUUGGGCGUAAAGCGCGCGUAGGCGGUUUUUUAAGUCUGAUGUGAAAGCCCACGGCUCAACCGUGGAGGGUCAUUGGAAACUGGAAAACUUGAGUGCAGAAGAGGAAAGUGGAAUUCCAUGUGUAGCGGUGAAAUGCGCAGAGAUAUGGAGGAACACCAGUGGCGAAGGCGACUUUCUGGUCUGUAACUGACGCUGAUGUGCGAAAGCGUGGGGAUCAAACAGGAUUAGAUACCCUGGUAGUCCACGCCGUAAACGAUGAGUGCUAAGUGUUAGGGGGUUUCCGCCCCUUAGUGCUGCAGCUAACGCAUUAAGCACUCCGCCUGGGGAGUACGACCGCAAGGUUGAAACUCAAAGGAAUUGACGGGGACCCGCACAAGCGGUGGAGCAUGUGGUUUAAUUCGAAGCAACGCGAAGAACCUUACCAAAUCUUGACAUCCUUUGACAACUCUAGAGAUAGAGCCUUCCCCUUCGGGGGACAAAGUGACAGGUGGUGCAUGGUUGUCGUCAGCUCGUGUCGUGAGAUGUUGGGUUAAGUCCCGCAACGAGCGCAACCCUUAAGCUUAGUUGCCAUCAUUAAGUUGGGCACUCUAAGUUGACUGCCGGUGACAAACCGGAGGAAGGUGGGGAUGACGUCAAAUCAUCAUGCCCCUUAUGAUUUGGGCUACACACGUGCUACAAUGGACAAUACAAAGGGCAGCGAAACCGCGAGGUCAAGCAAAUCCCAUAAAGUUGUUCUCAGUUCGGAUUGUAGUCUGCAACUCGACUACAUGAAGCUGGAAUCGCUAGUAAUCGUAGAUCAGCAUGCUACGGUGAAUACGUUCCCGGGUCU